GUGUCAGCCGCCGCGGUAAGACGUAGGGUGCGAGCGUUGUCCGGAUUUAUUGGGCGUAAAGAGCUCGUAGGCGGCUCGUCGCGUCAGCUGUGAAAACCCGCGGCUUAACUGUGGGCUUGCAGCUGAUACGGGCGGGCUAGAGUUCGGUAGGGGAGACUGGAAUUCCUGGUGUAGCGGUGAAAUGCGCAGAUAUCAGGAGGAACACCGGUGGCGAAGGCGGGUCUCUGGGCCGAUACUGACGCUGAGGAGCGAAAGCGUGGGGAGCGAACAGGAUUAGAAACCCGAGUAGUCC
rnacentral:rRNA from 1 species